UACGUAGGGGGCUAGCGUUGUCCGGAAUCAUUGGGCGUAAAGAGCGUGUAGGCGGCCCGACAGGUCCGUUGUGAAAACUCGAGGCUCAACCUCGAGACGUCGAUGGAAACCGUCGGGCUAGAGUCCGGAAGAGGAGAGUGGAAUUCCUGGUGUAGCGGUGAAAUGCGCAGAUAUCAGGAGGAACACCCGUGGCGAAAGCGGCUCUCUGGAACGGUACUGACGCUGAGACGCGAAAGCGUGGGGAGCGAACAGG
rnacentral:rRNA from 1 species